GGAGUUGUGUGAGAGUGCGCGUGCGCGAUGAGAAAAGCUGGUGAAUCGAAGGCGCGUGCGCAAGGAGAAUAACUCCAGGGAGGGCGACUAAGGAAUGCUUAUCAGCACCCUCAAGACACUGCUGUAUUAGAGGAUGCAAAGCCCACGGGAAGGAGAUUCCCCAAUCUGAAGACUUUACAAUCAAGAUUAACAACAAAGUAUAUGAAAACAGUUAGUGGGGAAGGAAACUAAAUAUGAGGUUACAACUCUAAGCACAUGUUCUCAUAAAGGCUAACUCCAUCAAAAACAAAGAUUUCCCAGCUACCCUAGUAUUUAUCAAAUGGCAGUGUCUUGACAUUAUGAGGAAAUGCCUCGUUCCUUCCCCCUUGUGGAAGCAGGACAACAAUGAAUGCCUGAAAGGUGACUUCUACUGGGAACCCUUGGUAGCAUGUGCACAAACACCUCUGAACUGUGGCAACUGUGAACCAGUUCCCAUCCAGUGACAUUCUUGAAAUGGUUUGUUAUGUGCGUGUCGAUGCCCUUAAGGUACAGACAUGUGUUAAUUGGGAGAGGCAGUUAGCCAUAUUAGUCUUAAAUCAGACAGAAAGCAAGGAAGAUGCAGUUAAAACAAUUUAAAUUAGGUACAGGCAAUUAUUCUGGCUUGAGGGCCACUUACCAAGUUUUGGUGAGCUGUCAAGGGCCACAAGGGUAGCCCCGCCACUCAACAAGUGCCCCACCCCAUGGCCAUUAUCUUGGGACCAGAAGUACCACCCCUAACCCCCUGACCUUUGCCACCAGAAGUCCCUCCCCUUGUGCCACAGGUAUUCCUUUUGGAGAGGACUGCAAUCUUGAAACAAAGAAAAAAAAACCCAAACAAAUUUUAUACUAAAAAUCAAACAUCUACUAUAACUAGGAGUGCACUGAUAAAGACUUUCCUGGAUGAUACCGACAGCCAAUGAUUAACCAACCAUAUUGGCCGAUGCUGAUUCGAUAACCAAUAUUUAGUAACAGUGCAAGGCAUUUUACACUACUGACAUAAAUAAACCUUUUUUACG